rnacentral:rRNA from 1 species
AGCGUAGGUGGCCUAACAUGUCAACUGUGAAAACCCGGAGCUCAACUCCGGACUUGCAGUUGAAACUGGUAGGCUUGAGGACGGUAGAGGAAGACGGAACUGCCAGUGUAGGGGUAAAUCCUUAGAUAUUGGCAGGAACGCCGGUGACGAAGGUGGUUUUCUGGGCCGGUUCUGACACUGAUGCUCGAAAGCCAGGGGAGCGAACG